GUGGCUGUAGCUCAAUGGCAGAGCUCCAGAUUGUGGUUCUGGAUGUUGCGGGUUCGAGUCCCGUCAGCCACCCCC
rnacentral:tRNA from 1 species